ACGGCCGCGGUAUCCUAACCGUGCGAAGGUAGCGUAAUCACUUGUUCUUUAAAUGUGGACUAGUAUGAAUGGCUAAAUGAGGGCGUACCUGUCUCCUGCAACCGACCAAUGAACCUGAUCUCCCAGUACAAAAACUGGGAUACACACAUAAGACGAGAAGACCCUGUGGAGCUUUAAACAGACCCUAAAGUACCCCCUCUCCCCCACAAGGCAUAACAUACGUUACUAUUAGCAGCGAUUUAAGUUGGGGCGACUAGGGGGAAAACCAGAACCCCCCCGAAAACCGCUACGCAUUAACAGUGGACACACUUACAAUACGCGGAACGACCCAGUAUAACUGAUCACCGAACCAAGUUACCCCAGGGAUAACAGCGCCAUCCCCCUCAAGAGUCCCUAUCGCAAGGGGGGUUUACGACCUCGAUGUUGGAUCAGGACAUCCUGGCGGUGUAGCCGCUGCCAAGGGUUCGUUUGUUCAACGAUUAAUAGUCCUACGUGAUCU
rnacentral:rRNA from 1 species